rnacentral:rRNA from 1 species
GACGAACGCUGGCGGCGUGCCUAAUACAUGCAAGUCGAACGCUGAAGGAGGAGCUUGCUUCUCUGGAUGAGUUGCGAACGGGUGAGUAACGCGUAGGUAACCUGCCUGGUAGCGGGGGAUAACUAUUGGAAACGAUAGCUAAUACCGCAUAAGAGUAGAUGUUGCAUGACAUUUGCUUAAAAGGUGCAAUUGCAUCACUACCAGAUGGACCUGCGUUGUAUUAGCUAGUUGGUGGGGUAACGGCUCACCAAGGCGACGAUACAUAGCCGACCUGAGAGGGUGAUCGGCCACACUGUGACUGAGACACGGCCCAGACUCCUACGGGAGGCAGCAGUAGGGAAUCUUCGGCAAUGGACGGAAGUCUGACCGAGCAACGCCGCGUGAGUGAAGAAGGUUGUCGGAUCGUAAAGCUCUGUUGUAAGAGAAGAACGAGUGUGAGAGUGGAAAGUUCACACUGUGACGGUAGCUUACCAGAAAGGGACGGCUAACUACGUG